GAUGAACGCUAGCGGGAGGCUUAACACAUGCAAGUCGAGGGGCAACACGGGUAGCAAUACCUGGUGGCGACCGGCGCAAGGGUGCGUAACGCGUGAGCAACAUACCCUAUACAGGGGGAUAAUCCAGGGAAACUUGGUCUAAUAUCCCAUAGGAUUUACAGAUGUCAUCAUCUAUAAAUUAAAGCUUCGGUGGUAUAGGAUUGGCUCGCGUGACAUUAGCUAGAUGGUGGGGUAACGGCCUACCAUGGCCAUGAUGUCUAGGGGUUCUGAGAGGAAGACCCCCCACACUGGGACUGAGACACGGCCCAGACUCCUACGGGAGGCAGCAGUGAGGAAUAUUGGACAAUGGAUGGAAAUCUGAUCCAGCCAUGCCGCGUGCAGGAAGACGGCCCUAUGGGUUGUAAACUGCUUUUAAUGGGAGCAAUAAGGUCUACGCGUAGACCGAUGAGAGUACCAUAUGAAUAAGCAUCGGCUAACUCCGU
rnacentral:rRNA from 1 species